rnacentral:rRNA from 1 species
UGGGGAAUUUUGGACAAUGGGGGAAACCCUGAUCCAGCCAUCCCGCGUGUGCGAUGAAGGCCUUCGGGUUGUAAAGCACUUUUGGCAGGAAAGAAACGUCAUGGGUUAAUACCCCGUGAAACUGACGGUACCUGCAGAAUAAGCACCGGCUAACUACGUGCCAGCAGCCGCGGUAAUACGUAGGGUGCAAGCGUUAAUCGGAAUUACUGGGCGUAAAGCGUGCGCAGGCGGAUCGGAAAGAAAGAUGUGAAAUCCCAGAGCUCAACUUUGGAACUGCAUUUUUAACUACCGGGAUAGAGUGUGUCAGAGGGAGGUGGAAUUCCGCGUGUAGCAGUGAAAUGCGUAGAUAUGCGGAGGAACACCGAUGGCGAAGGCAGCCUCCUGGGAUAACACUGACGCUCAUGCACGAAAGCGUGGGGAGCAAACAGG